UACGUAGGGUGCGAGCGUUAAUCGGAUUUACUGGGCGUAAAGCGUGCGCAGGCGGCCCGUUAAGACAGGUGUGAAAUCCCUGGGCUCAACCUGGGAAUUGCACCUGAUACUGCUGAGCUAGAGUACGGUAGAGGGUAGUGGAAUUUCCGGUGUAGCGGUGAAAUGCGUAGAGAUCAGGAGGAACACCGAUGGCGAAGGCAGCCCCCUGGGCCUGUACUGACGCUCAUGCACGAAAGCGUGGGGAGCAAACAGG
rnacentral:rRNA from 1 species